AUUGAACGCUGGCGGCAGGCCUAACACAUGCAAGUCGAACGGUAACAGGAAGAAGCUUGCUUCUUUGCUGACGAGUGGCGGACGGGUGAGUAAUGUCUGGGAAACUGCCUGAUGGAGGGGGAUAACUACUGGAAACGGUAGCUAAUACCGCAUAACGUCGCAAGACCAAAAAGGGGGACCUUCGGGCCUCUUGCCAUCGGAUGUGCCCAGAUGGGAUUAGCUAGUAGGUGGGGUAACGGCUCACCUAGGCGACGAUCCCUAGCUGGUCUGAGAGGAUGACCAGCCACACUGGAACUGAGACACGGUCCAGACUCCUACGGGAGGCAGCAGUGGGGAAUAUUGCACAAUGGGCGCAAGCCUGAUGCAGCCAUGCCGCGUGUAUGAAGAAGGCCUUCGGGUUGUAAAGUACUUUCAGCGGGGAGGAAGGGAGUAAAGUUAAUACCUUUGCUCAUUGACGUUACCCGCAGAAGAGGCACCGGCUAACUCCGUG
rnacentral:rRNA from 1 species